AUAGAGGAAGGUCAGUGACCAACUCUGGGCCCAUGGCGGUUAAUUCAUGAAUGUUUUGCAGGAGAAAAGAAGAGCCCUUCAUUUUGAAGUGUAAUGAGAAGAUGGAAUAACAAAAUAGAAAACACAGGCAUGAAUAUGGAUACAGCGCUCCACAUGGCCCCGCUGACUAGAAAAUGACAAGGGAAAGACUAUCAUGGCUUCUAUUACAAAGUUAUGCCAACUAGAGCCAGACCUGUGAAAACUUGUGAAGAAAAAUCC